rnacentral:rRNA from 1 species
UCGAACGAUGAUCCGGUGCUUGCACCGGGGAUUAGUGGCGAACGGGUGAGUAACACGUGAGUAACCUGCCCUUGACUCUGGGAUAAGCCUGGGAAACUGGGUCUAAUACCGGAUAUGACUCCUCAUCGCAUGGUGGGGGGUGGAAAGCUUUUGUGGUUUUGGAUGGACUCGCGGCCUAUCAGCUUGUUGGUGAGGUAAUGGCUCACCAAGGCGACGACGGGUAGCCGGCCUGAGAGGGUGACCGGCCACACUGGGACUGAGACACGGCCCAGACUCCUACGGGAGGCAGCAGUGGGGAAUAUUGCACAAUGGGCGCAAGCCUGAUGCAGCGACGCCGCGUGAGGGAUGACGGCCUUCGGGUUGUAAACCUCUUUCAGUAGGGAAGAAGCGAAAGUGACGGUACCUGCAGAAGAAGCGCCGGCUAACUACGUGCCAGCAGCCGCGGUAAUACGUAGGGCGCAAGCGUUAUCCGGAAUUAUUGGGCGUAAAGAGCUCGUAGGCGGUUUGUCGCGUCUGCCGUGAAAGUCCGGGGCUCAACUCCGGAUCUGCGGUGGGUACGGGCAGGCUAGAGUGAUGUAGGGGAGACUGGAAUUCCUGGUGUAGCGGUGAAAUGCGCAGAUAUCAGGAGGAACACCGAUGGCGAAGGCAGGUCUCUGGGCAUUAACUGACGCUGAGGAGCGAAAGCAUGGGGAGCGAACAUGAUUAGAUACCCUGGUAGUCCAUGCCGUAAACGUUGGGCACUAGGUGUGGGGGACAUUCCACGUUUUCCGCGCCGUAGCUAACGCAUUAAGUGCCCCGCCCUGGGGAGUACGGCCGCAAGGCUAACCCUCAAGGAAUUGACGGGGGCCCG